AGUGGCGGACGGGUGAGUAACGCGUGGAUAACCUGCCUCAUACAGGGGGAUAACAGUUGGAAAACGGCUGUUAAUACCGCAUAAGCGCACGUAAACCGCAUGGUUUUGUGUGAAAAACUCCGGUGGUAUGAGAUGGGUCCGCGUCUGAUUAGCUAGUUGGCAGGGUAACGGCCUACCAAGGCGACGAUCAGUAGCCGACCUGAGAGGGUGUACGGCCACAUUGGGACUGAGACACGGCCCAAACUCCUACGGAAGGCAGCAG
rnacentral:rRNA from 1 species